rnacentral:rRNA from 1 species
UACAGAGGGGGCAAGCGUUGUUCGGAAUUACUGGGCGUAAAGGGCGCGUAGGCGGCCUGCUAAGUCGGACGUGAAAUCCCCGGGCUCAACCCGGGAACUGCGUCCGAUACUGGUUAGCUUGAAUCCGGGAGAGGGAUGCGGAAUUCCAGGUGUAGCGGUGAAAUGCGUAGAUAUCUGGAGGAACACCGGUGGCGAAGGCGGCAUCCUGGACCGGCAUUGACGCUGAGGCGCGAAAGCCAGGGGAGCAAACGGG